UGCCUUCGCGUUGAAGAGGUGAUGG
rnacentral:piRNA from 1 species